rnacentral:rRNA from 2 species
GUUGAAAAAUUAGCGGAUGACCUGUGGCUGGGGGUGAAAGGCCAAUCAAACCGGGAGAUAGCUGGUUCUCCCCGAAAGCUAUUUAGGUAGCGCCUCGUGAAUUCAUCUCCGGGGGUAGAGCACUGUUUCGGCUAGGGGGCCAUCCCGGCUUACCAACCCGAUGCAAACUGCGAAUACCGGAGAAUGUUAUCACGGGAGACACACGGCGGGUGCUAACGUCCGUCGUGAAGAGGGAAACAACCCAGACCGCCAGCUAAGGUCCCAAAGUCAUGGUUAAGUGGGAAACGAUGUGGGAAGGCCCAGACAGCCAGGAUGUUGGCUUAGAAGCAGCCAUCAUUUAAAGAAAGCGUAAUAGCUCACUGGUCGAGUCGGCCUGCGCGGAAGAUGUAACGGGGCUAAACCAU